GUCCACGCCGUAACGAUGAUCACUAGAUGUCAGUUUGCUUUGCAAGAUUGGUAUCGUAGCUAACGCGUUAAGUGAUCCACCUGGGAAGUACGGUCGCAAGAUUAAACUCAAAGGAAUUGACGGGGUCCGCACAAGCGGUGGAACAUGUGGUUAAUUCGACACUACGCGAGGAACCUUACCUGGGCUUGACAUGCCUCUGACAGUCGUGGAAACACGAUCUUUUAGGCUUCGGUCUAGACAGUGGCACAGGUGCUGCAUGGCUGUCGU
rnacentral:rRNA from 1 species